rnacentral:rRNA from 1 species
UAAACUAGGAUUAGAUACCCUAUUAUAGAAAAUGUAAAUUGGAAAAGCUAAGGUAGUAAAAGUUAAGUUCUUGAAAUUUAAAAAAUUUGGCGGUAUUUUAAUCUUUUCAGAGGAACCUGUUCUAUAAUUGAUAAUCCACGAUUAAAAUUACUUAAUUUAAAAGUUUGUAUAUCGUCGUAGUUGAAUAUCUUAUAAGAGAAAAUAAUGUUCAUUAAUUAUUAUAAUAAUUUAAAGCAGAUCAAGGUGCAGUUUAUAAUUAAGAAGAGAUGGGUUACAAUAAAUUUUUAUUUAUACGGUUAAGUUAAUUAAAAUUAUUUUUAAGGUGGAUUUGAAUGUAAUUUGAUUUAUUUAAAUUGAAUGAUUUAAGCUCUAAAAUAUGCACAUAUCGCCCGUCGCUUCCAUUUAUUUUUAAAGUGGAAUAAGUCGUAACAAAGUAGGUGUACUGGAAAGUGUACCUGAAUUUAUCAAGUUAGAGCUUGUUUAUAAAGCAUUUUAUUUACAUUAAAAAGUUAAUUGUGUGAAUCAAUUUAAUUUGAUAUUUAGUAAAUUAUUUUUUUUUGUUAUUUUAGGGUUAUGUAAAUAAAAUAUUUUUUUUUUUUUUUUUUUAAAAAWAAAAUUUUUUUAAUUAUAGUUUAWAAGUWUUGGGUAAGAAUUUAUUAAAUAAUUUAAAUAUUAAAAUUUUUUAAAGAAGAAUUAAUUUUUUGUACCUUGUGUAUCAGGGUUUAUUAAAAAAAAAUUAUUUAUUUUAAUUUUCUCGAAUUAAAAGAGUUAAAAAAUUAUAUAUUUUAUUGUGAAAUAAAUUUUUAAAAUAAUUUUUUAGUAAUGAAACGUUAGUCGUUUUUUAAUUUAUCUAGUUUUUUGAGAAAUAAAUUUAAUUUAGUAAAUAUUUAUUAUUAUUUUAAUUUUUUAAUUUAAUGGAGGUAUUUAAUAAUAUUUUAGGGGAUAAGCUUUAAAAUAAAUUUUUAUAAAUAUAUUUUUUUUAUUUUAAUAUGUAGGAUUAGAAUUUUCUUUCAUUGUAGUAUGUUAUAAUUAAUUUUUUGUUUAAUAAGAUUUAUAUAUAUAUUUUAAAUUUUUUAUUAAAAUUAUUUAUUUAAUAAUGAAAUAUUUGUAAUAAUGAUAGAAUUAGUAUAAUUUAAAGUUUAAUUAAUUUAAAAAUUUUAGGUUAAAUUAAGGAAUUCGGCAAAAAAUUUUUCCGCCUGUUUAUUAAAAACAUGGCUUUUUGAUAAUAAUUUAAAGUCUAGCCUGCCCAAUGAAUUUUUAAUGGCCGCGGUAUUUUGACCGUGCAAAGGUAGCAUAAUAAUUUGUUUUUUAAUUGGAAACUGGUAUGAAUGGUUGGACGAGAGAAAGACUGUCUCAAUUUAAAUUUAAUUAGAAUUUUAUUUUUAAGUUAAAAAGCUUAAAUGUAUUUAAAAGACGAGAAGACCCUAUAGAGUUUUAUAUAGAUAUUUUUAUUAUUAUUUAAAGAAUUUGAUUAUUAUAAUUAUAUUUGUAUUUGGUUGGGGUGAUUAAAAAAUUUAAUAAACUUUUUUUUUAUUUUAACAUUAAUAAAUGAUUAUUUGAUCCAUAAAAAUGAUUAUAAGAAUAAAUUACCUUAGGGAUAACAGCGUAAUUUUUUUUGAGAGUUCUUAUCGAAAGAAAAGUUUGCGACCUCGAUGUUGGAUUAAAAUAAAUUUUUGGUGUAGAAGCUAAAAAAUUAGGUCUGUUCGACCUUUAAAAUUUUACAUGAUCUGAGUUCAAACCGGAGA